rnacentral:tRNA from 1 species
AAGAAAUUAGUUAAUUUAUAACCUAAACUUGUCAUGUUUAAAUAAUCUUAUUUAGAUAUUUCUUG